GACAGAGGCCCCGAGCGUUAGUCGGAAUCACUGGGCUUAAAGGGUGCGUAGGCGGGCGUGUAAGUGCUUUGUGAAAGCCCUGGGCUCAACCCAGGAACCGCAGGGCAUACUGCACGUCUCGAGGUAGCUAGAGGCCGGUAGAACGAUCGGUGGAGCGGUGGAAUGCGUAGAGAUCGAUCGGAAUGCCAAGGGUGAAGACAACCGGCUGGGGCUUACCUGACGCUGAGGCACGAAAGCGUGGGGAUCAAACAGG
rnacentral:rRNA from 1 species